rnacentral:rRNA from 1 species
GAUGAACGCUGGCGGCGUGCCUAAUACAUGCAAGUCGAGCGAACAGAUAAGGAGCUUGCUCCUUUGACGUUAGCGGCGGACGGGUGAGUAACACGUGGGUAACCUACCUAUAAGACUGGAAUAACUCCGGGAAACCGGGGCUAAUGCAGGAUAACAUGUUGAACCGCAUGGUUCUACAGUGAAAGGCGGCUUUGCUGUCACUUAUAGAUGGACCCGCGCCGUAUUAGCUAGUUGGUGAGGUAACGGCUCACCAAGGCAACGAUACGUAGCCGACCUGAGAGGGUGAUCGGCCACACUGGAACUGAGACACGGUCCAGACGCCUACGGGAGGCAGCAGUAGGGAAUCUUCCGCAAUGGGCGAAAGCCUGACGGAGCAACGCCGCGUGAGUGAUGAAGGUCUUCGGAUCGUAAAACUCUGUUAUUAGGGAAGAACAAAUGCGUAAGUAACUGUGCGCGUCUUGACGGUACCUAAUCAGAAAGCCACGGCUAACUACGUG